AACGAACGCUGGCGGCAUGCCUAACACAUGCAAGUCGAACGAUAUCUUCGGGUCUAGUGGCGCACGGGUGCGUAACGCGUGGGAAUCUGCCCUUUGGUUCGGAAUAACAGUUGGAAACGACUGCUAAUACCGGAUGAUGACGAAAGUCCAAAGAUUUAUCGCCAGAGGAUGAGCCCGCGUAGGAUUAGCUAGUUAGUGUGGUAAAGGCGCACCAAGGCGACGAUCCUUAGCUGGUCUGAGAGGAUGAUCAGCCACACUGGGACUGAGACACGGCCCAGACUCCUACGGGAGGCAGCAGUGGGGAAUAUUGGACAAUGGGCGAAAGCCUGAUCCAGCAAUGCCGCGUGAGUGAUGAAGGCCUUAGGGUUGUAAAGCUCUUUUACCCGGGAUGAUAAUGACAGUACCGGGAGAAUAAGCUCCGGCUAACUCCGUGCCAGCAGCCGCGGUAA
rnacentral:rRNA from 1 species